rnacentral:rRNA from 1 species
ACCUGCCCUGCUUNUCAGAGUGGGACUAAGCCAUGCGAGUUAACGUAGCAAUACGUGGCAUACGGCUCAGUAACACGUAGUCAACAUGCCCAGAGGACGUGGAUAACCUCGGGAAACUGAGGAUAAACCGCGAUAGGUCAUGAUUCCUGGAAUGGUUCAUGGCUGAAAUCUAUAUGGCCUUUGGAUUGGACUGCGGCCGAUCAGGCUGUUGGUGAGGUAAUGGCCCACCAAACCUGUUACCGGUACGGGCUCUGAGAGGAGGAGCCCGGAGAUGGGCACUGAGACAAGGACCCAGGCCCUAUGGGGCGCAGCAGGCGCGAAACUUCUGCAAUAGGCGAAAGCUUGACAGGGUUACUCUGAGUGAUUUCCGUUAAGGAGAUCUUUUGACACCUCUAAAAAUGGUGUAGAAUAAGGGGUGGGCAAGUCUGGUGUCAGCCGCCGCGGUAAUACCAGCACCCCGAGUGGUCGGGACGAUUAUUGGGCCUAAAGCAUCCGUAGCCGGUCCUACAAGUCUUCCGUUAAAUCCACCUGCUCAACAGAUGGGCUGCGGAAGAUACUAUAGGGCUAGGAGGCGGGAGAGGCAAGCGGUACUCAGUGGGUAGGGUAAAAUCCUCUGAUCCAUUGAAGACCACC